rnacentral:rRNA from 1 species
GACGGAGGGUGCAAGCGUUGCUCGGAAUCACUGGGCGUAAAGAGCGCGUAGGCGGCUAGGUAGGUGGGUUGUGAAAACUGGAGGCUCAACCUUCAGACGUCGACCCAAACCCCCCGGCUAGAGUCCGGAAGAGGAGAGUGGAAUUCCUGGUGUAGCGGUGAAAUGCGCAGAUAUCAGGAAGAACACCCGUGGCGAAGGCGGCUCUCUGGGACGGUACUGACGCUGAGACGCGAAAGCGUGGGGAGCGAACAGG